AAGAAGCUGACAUGAGCCCUUGUUUCCAGUAUGUGAGUCAUCAUUGCCACCAAUGGUCUGGGUCGUUGGCUGUGCACACACAUCCACAGACAGUACAACAACAGCCUCUAGUCCCUUGUUGCUGACCUUUGGGAAGCUGGGCAUGUAAGGGAAUAUAUGCACCACAUGAGUGAGUACCUACUGCCCACAGAGGGCACCAGAGUUUGAGAUGUCUCGGAACUGGAGUUACAGACACUUGUGAACCAUCCGGUAGGUGCUGCAUAUCAACCCUAGAUCCUCUGGAAGACAUCCAGAGAAAUUAAAGAAUGAACCCUAUCUUCAGACUCUAGUUUAUAUUUUGUUAUUUUAAAACUUUCUUUGAGAUGUCUUAGAAAAAGCUGCAUUAUAUCUGUAGAUAAUUUCGGCUCUAUCAGUUGGGUUGAGGUUUCUUGAGUGUCAGUUAUAAAAAUAUAAAUUAGAUCACAGGGUGAGAGACUCUUUCUCCUCUCAUAUCCCCUUCAAUGCCCUGUCUUUCUGUCUUAUUUGGGACAAGCAGACAUCCCCAUGCACAACUAUAAAUAUAGACAAGUUGUUAGUCACAGGAUACAAAAGUCAACCCAAAAUGAACAAAUGAUCUACACAGGACUAGAGAGACAUCUUCGAGGUUAGGAGUGCCUUUGGCUAUUGCAGAUGACCUGACUUCAGUUUCAGGCACCUGUAUGGGGGCCCAAAGUUGCCUAUAAGUCCAGAUCCAGAGGAACUGACAGUCUUUUCUGGUCUCGGUGGGCAACUGAACUCAAACGUACAUAUGGCACACACAGACAUACAGGCAGACACUCAGUAAAUAGUGAAAAUAAUCUAAAAGGUAAUUGAUCCAAAAUACAACCUAAAUAUGAAUCAUGUAGCAGAAAACAAUUGAAUGAAUUAUAGAUAAACUUCUUAGAUAUGACAAACCCCCUUUCAUUAAAUGAACAACUGAAUUGUUAAGAACUCCAUAAAGUGAGAAUAUGUCCACUCUACCAAAUAUAUGUUAGAAACAUAUUUUUCUUACCUGGGAAAAUGAAUGUUGGAAAUUGUGUAUCAGAUGACAGUCUUCUUGUUUCCAGAAUGCAUAAAACCUCAAAAAGAGUCACUGAGAAAAUAGACAAUUCAGGAAAUUAAAGUUGGCCAGAAGGGUGAGUAGAUGCUCCACUAAGAGAAACAUACAGCAGCAACAUCCUUAACACUUAAGGAAGAGAGACAGAUGACUCUGAGGGGACUGUCGACACCCCCAUAAAAUACUCAGAAAUAAAGACUUGUCAUACAAAGACCUGGCAGGUUGUGGAGGAUGAAACUCUCAUACCCACUGCUGGUGGCCAUGGAAAACAGGACAGAGACUUGGAAAAGUAUUUCCCAAUGUCUUCAUAUGUUAAUUGUCAUCUGGCCAUCACAUUCCCAAAUAUAUAACCUGGAGAAAGAGGACAUAUUUUCUUUUAAUGAUUUAUUUAUUUCAGUUCACACCAGCUUUAUAUACAAGACACUGAAAUUGAAAACAACCUAAACAAUAGCCAACAGGUAAAAGACUCAUUUCCCAAAACUGGCAUGGCGCUCCCUACUGUCUGUAACUAUGGUGCCAAGGGAUCCAAUGCCCUCUCUUGGCCUCCACAGGCACCAGAAAUACAUUUGCUCUUCAUACCUAUAUGUAGGCGAGCAUAUACACACAUGAAAUAAAACUAAAUUAUCAAAGUUUCAGCGUAGCUAUACAUUGCGACACCAUUUAAUAGUAAGAAUGAACAAUGAUCAUGGGCAACAAAAUAGAUAAAUUUAAACAUAUAUUCAAGAUGAAUGAAGGCCAGAUGUCUCUGAACUCUGGUUCUAUCCUAAUACAUUCCAGCAUAUAUAAAUUUAUCUAUAAUAUCAGAUUGUUGUAUUUUCCUGCAGACAGGAUAGGGCAGUGGUUGGGAUUGAGAACCUAAGGAACAUAGAAAUGAAACUUUAUGGAUUGGUAAAUAAUAAUGAAACUUAUACCUACCUGAGUAUAAGAAGAUGUCUAUUGUCAUUAU